UACGUAGGGUGCAAGCGUUGUCCGGAAUUAUUGGGCGUAAAGAGCUCGUAGGCGGUCUGUCGCGUCUGCUGUGAAAACUCGGGGCUUAACCCCGGGCCUGCAGUGGGUACGGGCAGACUAGAGUGCGGUAGGGGAGACUGGAAUUCCUGGUGUAGCGGUGAAAUGCGCAGAUAUCAGGAAGAACACCCGUGGCGAAGGCGGCUCUCUGGGACGGUACUGACGCUGAGGCGCGAAAGCCAGGGGAGCAAACGGG
rnacentral:rRNA from 1 species